rnacentral:tRNA from 1 species
GGUCUCGUAAGCUCAGUUAGCUAGAGCGUUGGCCUUUCCCUUGCUGGCGUGGGUUCGAAUCCCAUCGAGGCCG